CCGUUCCAGACGUUUUCCGUAUAUUAACGAGCCUGCCACGCUCACAACCAUCCUACGCGGCAGAUGCCGUCCCGGCCCUCAUGUGGCAGAGGGGGAAGGAAAGCGCAGAGAGCUGAAGUCACUGGCCCAGGCUCACAGGGCACUUGCGGGAGAGUGAGGACGCAGAGCCAGGCCCUGGGCGCCACACUCCACGCAGACGACCCUCCCCUCCGCCUCCUGUGCCCACCAGGCGCUGCUUGCCUGGGAAGAGGCCGAGGCCGGCAACCCAGGGAGCUUCAGACUCACUUCCUACCCCUCAGCCGAUGGAUCCCAAGCCCCUGUUAGGUGUGAGUGUGCAGCACGCGUAUCCACACGGAUUAUGAUCACACCCUGGGCCGAAGGCAGAUGCUCAACCGCAGAGGCACCCAGGUUUCCAAUUUAAGAGGACAUGCCAAAUUCAACAGAAAAGAAAAAUCUGAAGAUGGCAUUUCAGCCACCAUCAGACGUGAAGAUGACGGCAUCUACCCGUCCAUGUGUCACACGCCUUGACCUUUGGGGUGCUGGUCGGCGGGGAAACGUCUGGCUGCACAGAGGGGAUGAUUUGCCUCCAAACGCAGAGCCCGGUGCUGGGGACAUAAUGGGAAUUUGUGACACUCGAUGGAGAACUUGAGGCCCAUAAACCCUUAGACAGUAUGUAGUCGCUCAUCUGUGACAGACAUAAUAGGGAUAAUCGUCACCUAAUAAGUAAUCCAGGGCUAAUUAAAUGUUACUAAUACACGU